CACGAGUGGCGCACGGGUGAGUAACGCGUGGAUAUCUGCCUUUUGGUUCGGAAUAACCCCGGGAAACCGGUGCUAAUACCGGAUGUCCUCGCCGAAGCUCAUGCUUUGGUGAGGAAAUGGAUUCCGCUUCGGGAUGGCCUCGCGGCCUAUCAGCUUGUUGGUGAGGUAACGGCUCACCAAGGCUUCGACGGGUAGCUGGUCUGAGAGGAUGUCCAGCCACACUGGGACUGAGACACGGCCCAGACUCC
rnacentral:rRNA from 1 species